ACGUAUCCUGGCGGGGUGCGGUCCGCCCUGCUCCGGUCCCAUCGGGCCGUGCAGCGGGCGCCCGUCCCUGUCCACACCUCACAAACCCACUGUGAACCUUCACGGCGGAGGGGGAAACGGUUCGCGCCGUGGCCUCCGAUGCCGCAUACCAAACUCCAGUUGCAAAGAAUGUCGUGCGGACAUUGUGCCGCCUAAACACUAAAA
rnacentral:misc_RNA from 1 species